rnacentral:rRNA from 1 species
UACGAAGGGGGGCUAGCGUUGCUCGGAAUCACUGGGCGUAAAGCGCACGUAGGCGGCUUGUUAAGUCAGGGGUGAAAUCCUGGAGCUCAACUCCAGAACUGCCUUUGAUACUGGAGAGCUUGAGUCCGGAAGAGGUGAGUGGAACUCCGAGUGUAGAGGUGAAAUUCGUAGAUAUUCGGAAAGAACACCAGUGGCGAAGGCGGCUCACUGGUCCGGUACUGACGCUGAGGUGCGAAAGCGUGGGGAGCAAACAGG